rnacentral:rRNA from 1 species
UCGACAAGUGGGUUUACGACCUCGAUGUUGGAUCAGGGUUUCCGAGUGGUGCAACCGCUACUGAAGGUUCGUUUGUUCAACGAUUAAAACCCUACGUGAUCUGAGUUCAGACCGGAGUAAUCCAGGUCAGUUUCUAUCUAUACAAAGUUUUUCCUAGUACGAAAGGACCGGAAAAACAUGGCCACUAAGCUACUUACGCCAUUUUCGGCUAUUUUUGACAACCACUUAAAAAAAUAUCGACUAAACACCCUCCCUCAAAAGAAGAGU